rnacentral:rRNA from 1 species
UUAAUAGUAAAAUCUGCUCAAUGACAUUUCMAUAGCCGCAAUAAGUGCUAAGGUAGCAUAAUCAUUUGUCUUUUAAAUAAAGACUAGAACAAAAGAUUUAACAUUUCAAAUUACCUAUUCAAUUUUUUUAUUAAAAUUAUUUUAAAUGUAAAAAAACAUUUAUACAAAAAAAAGACGAUAAGACCCUAUUGAACUUAACUUUAGUUAAACUGGGGUAGUAAAUUAAAUAUUAUUUUAAUAUAAAUGUAUAAAAAAAUAUCCAUUAAAAUUGAAUUAUUAAGUUACCAUAGGGAUAACAGCGCAAUUAUAUUUUAAAGCUCUUAUUUAAAAAAUAGAUUACGACCUCGAUGUUGAAUUAAUAACCUAUUUUAUCAAAGCAAAUUUUAGAAAAGGAAGUCUGUUCGACUUUUUAAAAAUUACAUGAUUUGAGUUCAGACCGGUGCAAGCCAGGUCGGUUUCCAUCUUUUAAAUAUAAUUAUACAGUACGAAAGGACCUAUAAAUUUAAUUUAAUUUAAAAUUUGGCAGAUAAAUGCAUUAGAAUUAGAAUCUAAUUAACUAUAA